CACGUGCCUCAAGAGGCUGUCAGAGCCUUGCAGACAAGCAGACCAGGGCUGGGGUUACCAGUCAGUAAGCCAGACUCCUGGAGCGGGGGUCAGGCCUGCUCUGCCCACUCUGCCCUGGAAAAGGCGGAAGCACUGGGGAGGGCAGUGACAAACUAGUCUAUGCAGGACCCUCAGGGUAGGAGGCCAGUGAUAAUCCACCCGAAAAGGUACAGAGGUUUUCAGAUCACAAAACUGGAAUAAGAAAGACUACUGGAGCCAGGGCUGCCAGACUCUGGCCUAAACAAAGAGAAGACGACUCAGUGACUUCGAGCUUACACAGAUGACUCCUCCAACAUCCUCGCCCAUGGGUGCUGCUGAGCCAGGGCUCUGUUGCCAUUUCGCGUAGGACAGUUCCUCGAGCCAGACAGUCCUCCCAUUACAAGACAUGGCAUCUCUGCUCCCUGUCCACUGAUCGCUGGCAUUUUACCCCCUCCACAGUCCCUGCCACACCAAAGGUCCUCACACAUUUUGCCCCCAGGGGGUAGACAGGCCUGUCCUCGAUUGAGAACCACUGUCAGUUUCAGUCUCUUGAUCUCACUUCCACCAUGCACGCAAACCUGACUGGUCAUCGCCAGUCACGGAACGACUGCUGACAUCUUCAUUCAAGCCUCUGACCACUGCCUCCCCUCCCGGCUCACCAUGUCACACACACUGCAACGAGUCUGGCCCAGCAAGACCCCAAAUCCAUUAAACCCGGUGCUUGUUUAACUAAGAUCACUCCCUCCCCAUCUUCAUUUUUCUCCUCACCCAACCUAAACUCCAUGGUUAAUAAAUCCAUUCCUUCUCAGGAUCCUCAACUUCUGUGCCCCUUUCUGCCUACAUCAUCCUGGCCUGUUCCUCUCUGGUCUGUGCCUGAUCAGCUGACUGUUACUGGAGCAAAAUCACCAACUGGGCAGACUGCUUUUAUCUCAUCGCUCCUGUCCGUCAGUUCUCCCUCCUACUGUGUGUCUCCUUUACCUUCACACAGA
rnacentral:lncRNA from 1 species